rnacentral:rRNA from 1 species
UACGGAGGGGGCUAGCGUUGUUCGGAAUUACUGGGCGUAAAGCGCGCGUAGGCGGACCUGCAAGUCGGGGGUGAAAGCCCGAGGCUCAACCUCGGAACUGCCUUCGAUACUGCGGGUCUCGAGUCCGGGAGAGGUGAGUGGAAUUCCUAGUGUAGAGGUGAAAUUCGUAGAUAUUAGGAAGAACACCAGUGGCGAAGGCGGCUCACUGGCCCGGUACUGACGCUGAGGCGCGAAAGCGUGGGGAGCAAACAGGA